rnacentral:rRNA from 1 species
AGGAUGAACGCUGGCGGCGUGCUUAACACAUGCAAGUCGAACGGUGAAGCAGGAGCUUGCUCCUGUGGAUCAGUGGCGAACGGGUGAGUAACACGUGAGAAAUCUGCCCUGGACUCUGGGAUAAGCGUUGGAAACGACGUCUAAUACCGGAUACGAGCUUCAGCCGCAUGGCUAGGAGCUGGAAAGACUUCGGUCCAGGAUGAUCUCGCGGCCUAUCAGCUAGUUGGUGAGGUAACGGCCCACCAAGGCGACGACGGGUAGCCGGCCUGAGACGGGUGACCGGCCACGACUGGGACUGAGACACGGCCCAGACUCCUACGGGAGCAGCAGUGGGAAUAUGCACAAGUGGAGCAAGCCUGAUGCAGCAACGCCGCGUAGAGGGACGACGGCCUUGGUUACGUAAACCUCGUUUAGUAGGAAGAAGCGAAAGUGACGUACCU